UUUUGUUUCCCUUCUGAAUCCAAUUCCGUUUCUUAUUCUUAUAGUGGUUUUAUAAUUCGAUGAUCUUCUCCAACGAUUUUUUUUUUUCAUUCUUUUUUUUUCCGUGCAAGAACCAAGAAACUCCCCGGCGUUGUUUGGUCGGCUGUGCCGGAAACCCGAUGGAAAAGGCUCUGAUUUUUUUGGCGGAUGUACGCCACCUUGCGGAGAGGCUGUUUCCAUGUUUCGAAUCCCUGAUAGAUUGAGUGAGAAACGAGAUGAGGGUUCUCGUAUAUUUCUUGAUGUUGGUUUUUGAUCGCACCGGAUGUUCUGUUGUUGAUUUACUAUGGCGGAAUCCCGAUAUCAGUAUUCUUCUGAUUUGGGUUUUCUUUGCUCGGCGUUUAGACAUCACAUGAAAGAAUGGGCUGAUUGUUUUCUUUCGUUUUGUUGUGCAUGUUUUCCAAACUCUGUAUAAGACAUUGUUAGAUGGGACUGCAAAGAGUCCUAUAGGAGUAUCUGUGCUUGCUCAAGCAGACUUCAGUCAGAUUUUUUUUUUUUUUUUGAGUUUUUGACCUUUUUGGUUUGGAUAAAUCACUUAAUCGUUGGACCAUAUUUCAGCAUAAUUCUAGCAAGGGUGCCUUUGAAUUAGUCUUUUAUAAUUGAAUUCCUAUUUUAAAUGCGGUGGCUUCUAAAGUGUAAGAUUUUUGUGACAUUAUGGUCGUGAUUUGACUUUUUCUGAAACAAGUACUGGAAGAAUCUAUUUUAUUGGGUUCCAAAGUUUUCUCCCUUUA